rnacentral:lncRNA from 1 species
UUGUUUCUUCUUUGUUGGCGAAAAAGAUUGUUCCAUCAAAAUUUUACUGGUUCUGAUAUGUUCAAGCAGUAAAAAAAAAAAGAAAUUCGUUGGGUAGAAUUUUAAAAAGAAACAAGAGGUCACUGGUAAAUGGGUUUUUAUGGAGGAUUUCUUUCUUCUGGAUCUAGUUUUCUUCUUUUUGUGGAAAAUGAGUGUUACUGGAAAGCUAUGACCAGUAAAAAAGA